rnacentral:rRNA from 1 species
UUUAUAGAGAGUUUGAUCCUAGCUCAGAGUGAACGCUGGCGGCGUGCCUAACACAUGCAAGUCGCGCGGGAUUGUGCAGAGUAUCGUAUGAUUUAGCGGCAAACGGGUGAGUAACACGUAGGAAACCUUCCUUAAAAUAGGGAAUAUCUUCGAGAAAUCGGAGUCAAUACCGUAUAAGACCACAAUUUGGCAUCAAAUAGGGGUUAAAGCAGUAAUGCGUUUUAAGAUGGUCCUGCGGCCUAUCAGCUAGUUGGUGGGGUAAUAGCCUGCCAAGGCUAUGACGGGUAUCCGGCCUGAAAGGGUGAACGGACACACUGGAACUGAGAUACGGUCCAGACUCCUACGGGAGGCAGCAGUGGGGAAUUUUGGACAAUGGGGGAAACCCUGAUCCAGCGACGCCGCGUGGAGGACGAAGGUCUUCGGAUUGUAAACUCCUUUUAGAGGGGACGAAAAAAUGACGGUACCCUCAGAAAAAGCCACGGCUAACUACGUGCCAGCAGCCGCGGUAAUACGUAGGUGGCAAGCGUUACUCGGAAUUACUAGGCGUAAAGCGUAUGUAGGCGGUUAGAUAAGUCUCUAGUGGAAUUUCUCGGCUCAACCGAGACACGCCUAGGGAUACUGUUUGGCUUGAGUGUAGGAGGGGGAGACGGAAUUCCUGGUGUAGCGGUGAAAUGCGUAGAUAUCAGGAGGAACACCGAUGGCGAAAGCAGUCUCCUGGUCAAAUACUGACGCUAAUGUACGAAAGCUAGGGUAGCAAACAGGAUUAGAUACCCUGGUAGUCCUAGCUGUAAACGAUGUUCACUAGA